rnacentral:rRNA from 1 species
UACGUAGGGUGCGAGCGUUAAUCGGAAUUACUGGGCGUAAAGCGUGCGUAGACGGCUAUCUAAGUCGGGUGUGAAAGCCCCGGGCUCAACCUGGGAAUUGCAUUCGAGACUGAAUAGCUAGGGUACGGUAGAGGGAAGCGGAAUUUCCGGUGUAGCGGUGAAAUGCGUAGAUAUCUGGAGGAACACCGGUGGCGAAGGCGGCAUCCUGGACCGACACUGACGCUGAGGAGCGAAAGCCAGGGGAGCAAACGGG